GCGCCUUUUUCCCAUUCUCUGCCUUUUUCUCCGGGGGAGAGCUCGUCGUUGAGCCCUCUCGCGGUGGGGGAUUAAUUUCUGGCGGCUCUUCCGGCGUUGAAGCGUCGUGGGGGAGAGAGGUGUUGCGCGGAGCGGCUGCGUGGGGUGGUGGAGGUAGGGGCGACGGGGAGGAGGUGUGGAGAUCUCCGUGGAGGGCUCAGCGCAGUCACGAGGCAAGAGUUGAUAAGGGGGGCGGGGGCUUCUGCAUGUCUCCUGGCGAGGUCGUGGGGGCUUCGCGGGCGGAGUUCGCGCGUUGAAUCGCGGCAGGGGGCUGCAUCGAGCAUGCCUGGCGAGGUGGUGGCCUGGUGGAUGCUGCGCCCGCAGGGUUCUCGCGUUGAAUCGCAGCAGGGGGCUGCAUCGAGCUUGGCGAGCGCAUCGGCCAUCGAGCAGGCCGAGAGAUUCGAUUUGCAUUAAGGGGCAGAGCCACGGAGCGCCGAGCAGGGUCUCCCUCCAAUGGUUCGCCCUCCCUAUGAAAGUUCAGUAGGUAUUAGUAGUACGUAGUAAUAAGCUGCCCAUAAUUGCUAAUGGCCAUAGAUAAUUAAUUAGCUUAGACUAAUUAGCCAGGCCUAGCAGUAACGUGUGCAUAUGCUAUGUACGUUUCUUGAGCCUCUCUGACGAGUAGCGAAGAACAAAGCUUAAGAAGUAAGAAAAGACCCAUAAAGCCGAGUUGUUGAUUGCUACAUUUGCCAUCACCUAACCUGCCUACCAAUUAAAUUAGAUCGCAGACACAAUUCACGCAUGCAUGGCCGCACCUGCAGAUUCCCGGGCGUUCUUGCUUGCCGCCUCCCGGAUGAUGCAGGUACGCAUCGGCCAGCGGUCACCAUGCUGGUGCUGCCCGCUAAAUCCGCCAAUGAUUCGAGUGUAUCUUAUUUCUGAUCAAUCUAUCAAUUUAAACCUUUCUGUGUGUAAGUAAACAAGUUUAUUUAACAAUCAGAUGAUUAUUUAUACUGGGAAAGAAGCAGCUGCAGUGAAUCUUUUGUGUCGUUUUAGCUGGAUUUUUAUGGGCGAUCUAAACCAUGGCUUCAGAACUAGUUCAUCCCCCUUAAUAGCUUGCACGGGUGAGACGAUUAGAUGUUGCUUCUUCGGUUAAUCCUCUCUCCCCCUAAGGGCACAUCUAGGUGUUGCUUUUUUGGGCCCGAGUAACAUGGGAAAAUGCAGCCGAAGCAAAUUAGAACCAGUAAUUUUGGAGCUCAACUAUGUUUUGGAAUUCGGAGCACAACCAUGUUAUUCUCGAGUAACGCUUUCUGCAAUUGCCAACUAUGGGUAGAGCUGCUGUGCUGUUUCAAAAUUUUCUUUACACAGCAAUUCCAUUGGAUGCUAAAAAUUUUUGGUUAAUUAUGUCGGCUUUACAUUUUUCGCUCCCUGUGUGUUUUUGUCUCAUGUUUUUUUUCAGCAAACAUCAUAAAUUCAUUAGAUGAUGAGGCAGAGGGGGAGUGUCUGAAGAAGACAAAUCUGGAGAUUUAAUUCAUCAUAGUCGCUGUACUUGAUGGAAAUCUCAUGGGUUCAAACCCAGCCCGCUUGAUAAUGUGGGAGAAAUUGAUCCGGAGGGGAAUACAUAGUGCAGCCUACCCAGAGAACAAUGAGAUUGCUCCAGCUAAUGGUAAACGUACUAGACGCACAGGCCAAUGGGUAAUCGCCCGCUUUUUUCAUUUUGUUGUCUCGAUAUAGGCGCUUGAAUCUACAUGUGUGUACAACAACCUAGGUACCUGGCAAGUUUCUAUGUUUUAUUGACAAACAUCAGCAACUAUGUGGAAUCAAGCAUGUACAGUGAAGUAAAUAGUGAAGGCUGAUAAGGUGAAGUAUCUUUUCGGAUGGCUGAUAAUAGUGAAGCAAUUUUUGUUGGUGCAUGUCAGAGAAGACAUGAGUUCCACAAACACAAAACCGUGCAAGAACGCUUGUCGGCAAGUCACCUGGGAAUGCAGAAGCAUUUUCAAAGGAUUCUGUUGCUGUGGAGAUUGUGCCUUAAUCAUGAAUCCUGACAUGUUGCCCCUUUUGUGCUGUUACAUGUAAUAAUUAGAGGAAACCAAAUGUGUCUAUCUAUAGCAUGCCCAUGUAAUACCCUGGCCAGAUUUUUCAAUUCUGGUUUGUUCCAGGACUGCAAAACAUGCAAAAUUAUGUCCUAUUUUUUCUGGUCUGAAUAUGUGCGUGCCUACUGUUUUU